AAUCUCUUAGUCCCACAUCGAUUGAGUCUUCAAGCCCUAGAAUUUGGGAGUUCAAUAUAAAGAACCCCAAUUUCUACCAUUUGGCACACAAACAUUAACAGAUAUACUUGUCAUUCUCACGUAGAACCCUUUUUUUGGUUUUACACUGCUUACACGGGCAUAAGUAGGGUUUGAUUUGCUCAAUACUCUUUUUAGUUCAAAUAUUUAUUCGUAUUUUCUGAGAUCUUUGUGAUUUCAUUGCAUGGGUUGUGGCUGUGAGGCGUGGAGGAGAAGAAAGCUUCCAAUACUCCAUUCUUGAUCUCGCCUAUCAGUACAAAAGGUAAACUUUCCUUCUUUAGGUUUAAUUUUGUUGUUGUUUAGUGUUUUCCAUGGUUGUAUGCAUUCAUAUGUAGCUAGAUUAGCCUGUAAUUAGUCAUUAGUAGUCUGUUUUCUUUGGUUUAAUGUAUAACAUUAAGUGUUAGUUGAUGAUUGUGUGGUUCAGUUUAGUUUCAAUCCAGUAGUAAAUCAAUUUUGCUAGGUUUGACUUGUCAUUAAGCAUGUUUUAGUUUAAGAAUUUACAUAGAUUCAACAAUACUGAAUAUUACUUAAUCAUGAUUAGCCUGACAGUCCUAUAUGUGCUUAAAAUGUUAGAAGGAACUAGUUUCAUCAUUUAUUUGUUACUAAAACAAUAUUGUGUUAACAGGAUUUUCCUAUUUAGCUAAGUCUGUUGUUUGCUUACUUGAUCUUACUUCUUUUGCUACGCCUGUUGCUGGCUCCUUACUGUGACCUAGGUUUCAUACUUACUCAUGUUUAGUUAUGUGGUUGUGGAUUAACUUUUUUAUGCCUAUCAUGUAUCUGCUCUAGGUGAUUUCCUAUCAAAUAUAAGCUUAAGUUGUAUGCUUUAAUACUUGUCUAGCCCAGUUUACACUCCUCAUAUGCUCACUUCAAAUAAAUUAGACCUGAUAUGGCCUUGACCUGGUUGUGAGAGACUUCCUAGCUUUUGUGGCUCAUCAUGAGAUGGUUCGUAUGCUCAUUUAGCUUCCCCCCUGUCCCUGAAUGUGUACAUAUGGGUUGACAGUGGCAUGAAAUAAGCUAUGCAUGCCUCCGGAUCCCUGUUUUGUUUAUUUAAGUAUAAGAGGCCAAUUUGUAUGCCCUGUUGUGCCUUUGCCUGGAUCAUAUAUGUUUCUUGCUUAUGUUAACUGAUGUAUGUCUUGUUUUGAGUGUCUGUAUGAUUAAAUCUUAUAAGAAUCUAACCUGUUUGAAUUAAUACUUAAAUGAGUGACACGAUCUUAACUUGUUAACUAGUAACCUACUCUGUUUAGGCUGUUAUCUGAAUAUAUGUUUAUAAAGGAUAUACAAGUCUAUUUCACCUGCUUAAAUAUCAUUUUUGUGCAACUUGACCAUCCUCUUCCCUUAACCCCUUUUGCAUAUCCUUCAAAGUUAGAUGUCUAAGUCAUACUGCAUGUUUGCAAGUCUGUUUGGUUCUGAGGAAUAUUUUACACCUUUGUCAGAUCUCAAUACGCAUAUAUAUGUUUUUCCAUGCCUAGUUGGUAUCUGUUACUGCACUGUCAUGUUAGAGUUCUUGGCAAUUUGCACCCCUAAUGUAUACACCUUUUUUUGAUUUACACCCUAUCCUUUUAUUUUUUACAAGUUGCUCCUUUAUGUAUUCAUCCUUUUGCAAAAUCAUAAAACAACUCAUUACUGAAGGGCUAAAACAGGAAUAAUAUAUUUUUAACGACAUCAAUGUUAUAAGCUUGAUUCCAAAUCUUCUAUGGAUAGAUUGAGAUGGUAUUUUGAGUAAACUAAAUGAAUCAGAAAUUUAGCUUCGAAUGUGCAACAAGAACAACUAUAAUAAGAACUUUGAUACAAUGUUUUUAUUACCAUAAGCUUCAGGAAGAGCUAUCCUCUGAAACAAAAAACUUGGAAGUCUUGAAAUAUAAAAGGAAAAAAUUUAUGUCUGGAAGGCCGAUUACAUUAAGCUGCCCUCAUUGUUGACGACAUCAACUCAAUUUUUUGUUAUAUUUCCAAAUAGUAUUAGCAACACGUAUACUCAAAGUUUGAACUCGGAUCUUGGAAAUAGAAUUUCAAGAAUAAACGAUUUGCUUAUGUACAAGAAGAUUAGUCACAGUAUUCAGAUUUUCUAGACAAAGCAUGUUGAUGCCUUCUUAAGCACUGUUAGUUCACUAUUUUUAAAGGAAAACGAUAUCAAAACAGAAAAACAAGAAUAGAAAAGUAGUUGAUGAGAAAUUUAUAUUGAUUAGGAAAAAAAGAUAUAUAGUGCUCAACACUAAAACUACAGUGACCAUAAUCUACCGUAUUAUUUACCAUUGCAAAUUACUUCCUCUGUCCCAAUUUAUGUGGCACCAUUUCUUUUUUGGUCUAUCCCAAAAAGAAUGUCACAUUUCUUUAUUUCGAAACUAUUUAACUUUAUGAGAUGAUUUACCGCCACAAAUUUAUAUAAGGCUUAUUUUGAAUCACACAUUUCAAAAGUCUUCUUUUGUGCCAAGUCAAAUGGUGUCGAUGUAACUCUACCUGUCACAAGAAGGUAUAUGAAAACUCACCAGACGCCAAGAAUAGAAACGCAUAAAUGAAUAGAUUACUCUAUCUGAGCAAGAUUAAAGCGUAGAAUCAUUCAAGAAUAUAUCAAAUUUAUAAUCACACAUCAACAUCUAAGUUGUCGAGGAAAAGUGUACCGAUAUUAAAAACACUCAUAACUACUGAAUAAUUUUGAAAAAGAUAAAUUGAUAUAAGUAAAAAUAUACUCUUCCUGUUUUACCCAUUUAAGAUUGAGUUGUUCUAUGAUUUCGCAGAAGGAUGAAUACAUUAGGGAGCAAAUUGUAAAGAAUAAGAGGAUAGGGUGCAAAUAAAAACAAAAAGUAUACAUUAGGGGUGCAAAGUGCCAAGUAUUUUAAAUGAGGCUGGUGGUCUGAAAUAGUAAGAAUGUAAUAUGAAAUAAGACUAUAUCUGAGCAUGCUAAGUUGAUUUGAUAAAGUUUAUGUAGGGUUGAAGUAAAUGAAUAUUUGAACAUCGUAAGAGAAGGUUUAAGAGGUAGUCACUUGGGAAUGACAAGGCAAGGAUGCGUCUUACCAAGGGCUAGGGAGAAGCAAGGAAAGGCUUUGAGUUUAUCAAACUCAGCUCAGUACUACUAAUCCUAGGCUGCUGGGGUUUCUCCAUAUUGAAUCAUGCCUCAUGGAACCCUCCAACAUAUCAGUUGAAGAGAGAAAAGGACCCUAUAUAAAAACUAAUUUAUUGAGUGGAAAAUAAGAAUUAUACCUGCUUGUUUCCAUGUCCUUCUUGGUAUUCUCUAUAUGCAUUUUGUGCUUGCUGAUCUGGAUAUUACAAAAGGUCACUUAAUCACUUAAAUAAAAAGGAAAAGAUCUGAUAGUAUGUUUCUUGUAUUGUGCUGGGCUAUUGCGCUAUUCAAUAUAGAUUUUAAUUCUUAAUGCCUCCUCUGUGUGCUCAUAUACUAAAUGCUCAAUUAAGGUGUGUGCACAUCUUUACUAUAUGAAGCCUAUCUCUUAUACCCAUCCUUGGUAUGUUUGUGCUUUUCUCAUGAGCAUUUCCUUUCUUUUAGACUCUGAGUAUGACAGUCAGUAAAUAGGUGGAGUAAUAUACCAUGCUAUGUGCUUAUGCUGAUAACUUCGAUCCUUAUGUAUGAAAGUAAGUUUCAAUGUUGAUAAAGAUGUUGUGUCUUGACUAAUUAAAUGGCAUUCUCCCCACCCUUUUUGCUAUUUAUCUCUUGUGUCUUCCCUGUUGUAUAGGCUAUAUGGAACCAUGCUCAUAUGAGUUUUAAGAGAAGUAUUCCUUUACUGCAUUCAUCAUUAGUAUAGUGUGAACACUGUUGGGUUUUGAGGCUUUAAGUAAGAAAUUUAUGAAUGCUACUGGAUAUUGAAAAAUCAUGUUAAAAGUGAGCCACAUGUAUGGGGCUAUUGUUAUGUAUCAUUUGCUGUAUUGAGAGUAUUCUUAAAUCCCUUUCCAUGAGUGUAUGGGUCAAAUAGGUGUCAAGUAUAUCAUAUCAUGUGCAUAUUCAUUAUACUUGAUAUAGACUUGAGGUGGCAUUCUUUUGCUUUGCUUCUUCUUUUCCUAUUUUUGUGCUACCGCUGUGGGAUAUACAAAGGAUAUACGAGGUAUAUACAGUCUGCAAAUAUUUUUAGUAUAUAUGAUAUGGUAUAUUGAUAGGAUAUCAUCACGAUUUGACUUAAGUAUGGUGCUAUGAUAGUAAUUUGGGCCUUUCUCUUGUAUUUGAUUUCCUUUAUUUGCUGAAUUGGGCCUCUCCUUCAUGGCCAUCUGCACAUUAUUUAUCUUGGGCUUUUGUUUCUUUAUAAUUAUCAUCUUUGGCCGAUUUUUGUUUUCCUCAAAUUUCUUUUCUGUUUUGGGCUCUCCAAUUUUCGCUUGUUUAUUUGCUAAGUGUAGUGAAUUUACUUGGUAUACAAAUACGUAUACAUGUUUGUACUUCUGUUUUAAGCUCUUGUUGGUUUAUUUACUAAGCCUAGGUACUUUCUAACCGCAUUUCCCCUUCUCCCCCCUCCUUUGUUUUGCAUGGGAAUCCAUUUGGGCCAUUCAGGCAUUUCUGUUGAACCACUGUUAGGCCGAGGGCCCAACACUUCCCUUCUAUCGAGUCUGAGAUAUAAAAUUGAUUGAAGGCCCAACCAUAGGUGAAAAAGGUGACUACUGGGCUUAGGUAUUUAGAAGUGGAAUUGCAUGAAACUUGAUUAAAAACAAGGAAUUUUGAAGACAAGGCACUGUAUUGCAUUUGAAUGGACCGUUAACAUGCUCGACGGUUCGUCAAGUUGGUCAUCGAAUAGCAUUGAGUGAAAUAUCAGAGACUGCUAUAUUUUGAUGUAAAACAACAGGUAGGUCAACGGACCGUCAAUACGAUCGACGUUCUGUUGAUGUACAAUGACGGUGGAGUUUCUGCAGCCUGAAAAAUGUCAUUAGAUUAUCGAAGUGCAUCGUCGACAUUCGACGGUAUCGUCAAUGUGCAACGUCGGUCUGUUGAGUUGCAAGCCAACCUGGAACUGGAUUAGGAUUAAUUAUUACGAGUUUAGCUUGUAUAAAUACCUGUUUAGGUUUUAUUUUUCAGACAUCUGGAAUCUUAGGCUUGUAGUAAUUACUUUUGGGUUUUUAGUACAAUUGAAGAUUUCCAGACAAUUACAUUCGUUUACUUUCAAGUUUUAUUCGUAAGUUCAAUACAAAAUUCAAUUAUGCAA